rnacentral:lncRNA from 1 species
CCUAUGAGCCAGCAUGGCUUUUAAAAUCAAAAUUGGAGAAAAUUAAAAAAAGAGUUCGCAUGCAGUGCCCGUGAGAAAAAAAGAAUCGGAUUCCUGAAAAGAGUCCGACUUCUUCCCUGAUUCUGCUGGGCGAAAAGAAUUAAAACUUUGCUUUUCUCUCGAUAAUUAAACACCUGAUUUUGGAUAUAAGAGAGAAGUCCUUCCCUCCUCUUUGACAUCCACUCUUGAAGCCUUCAUUUCAAGCC